rnacentral:rRNA from 1 species
GAUGAACGCUGGCGGCGUGCCUAAUACAUGCAAGUCGAGCGAACGGACGAGAAGCUUGCUUCUCUGAUGUUAGCGGCGGACGGGUGAGUAACACGUGGAUAACCUACCUAUAAGACUGGGAUAACUUCGGAAAACCGGAGCUAACACCGGAUAAUCUUUUGCACCGCAUGGUUCAAAAGUGAAAGACGGUCUUUCUGUCACUUAUAGAUGGAUCCGCGCUUCAUUAGCUAGUUGGUAAGGUAAAGGCUUACCAAGGCAACGAUGCAUAGCCGACCUGAGAGGGGGAUAGCCCACAUGGGAACUGAGACACGGUCCUGACGCCUACGGGAGGCAGCAGUAGGGAAUCUUCCGCAAUGGGCGAAAGCCUGACGGAGCAACGCCGCGUGAGUGAUGAAGGUCUUCGGAUCGUAAAACUCUGUUAUUAGGGAAGAACAUAUGUGUAAGUAACUGUGCACAUCUUGACGGUAACUAAUCAGAAAGCCACGGCUAACUACGUG